AUUGAACGCUGGCGGCAGGCCUAACACAUGCAAGUCGAGCGAGCGGCGGACGGGUGAGUAAUGUAUGGGGACUGCCCGAUAGAGGGGGAUAACUACUGGAAACGGUGGCUAAUACCGCAUACUAUCGGAUAACCCAUAUGGGAUUAGCUAGUAGGGGGGGUAAAGGCUCACCUAGGCGACGAUCUCUAGCUGGUCUGAGAGGAUGAUCAGACACACUGGAACUGAGACCCGGUCCAGACUCCUACGGGGGCAGCAUGGGGGAAUAUUGCACAAUGGGCGCAAGCCUGAUGCAGCCAUGCCGCGUGUGUGAAGAAGGCCUUCGGGUUGUAAAGCACUUUCAGCGAGGAGGCGUUACUCGCAGAAGAAGCACCGGCUAACUCCGUGCCAGCCGCCGCGGUAAUUC
rnacentral:rRNA from 1 species